GGCGGCGCAGCUCGAUGGCGGCGGAGCUCGCGGCCGGCAGGGACGCGCCACGGGGGCAUGGAGAGGGGCUGAGCAGCUCCCUCCGCCCCGCGCUCCGCUCCCUCCCCGGCUCCGCACAGCUCCGCGGUCAGCCCCAGGGGAGGGGUUGGAGGCAACGGCUGGCUGGCGGGCGGCCAGGCCGCAGCCGGACGCCGCCUCCCCCUCCGCGAGCUCGCCGUGACGCCACGCCACAACUCACCUUCACCGAGCCCCCGGCCGCCAUCUUGCGCAAAGAGGGAGGGGGCGGCGCCGAGCGGCCCGGGGUUGGCUCUCCACGAGUAGGUACUGUCUUCGCCUUAUCUCGGAGCAUUCCUAUAAGCAUUAAAGACAAAGCCGGAGUUCUACGCUUAGCCGGUCCCAUCAUCGUCAGGAUGUCUCCGGCACACACGUCAAACAUCGCUAUCAUCCAGUCUCCUGUCCAUAUUUCACCCAGAUCACAGAGCAUGUUCCUGGAGACGCUCUGGUUUCUUUGA
rnacentral:lncRNA from 1 species